GUCGGCGCGGGCGGGCGGGCUGGCAGCCGGGCGGUGAUCGCCCCCUGCGCCUCGGGACGCGCACAGCAGGCCGCCCCCCCCCCCCGCUCCCCGCCCCGCCCCCCGCACCUGUGCGCCCCGCCCCCGCCUCCCCCCGCCCCCCGCCCCCGGGGCUCCCGCGGGGUCCCGGCCUGCGCCCUCCGGGGGGGACCCCCGCGCCGCCCCCGCACCUCCCAGCCCCGCGCUGCGGCUGCGGCCCGCCUCUGGGAGCGGGGCGCGCCGGGCGGGGAGGAGCCGGGGCGGGGCGGGGCGCGGAGGAGGGAGGGGCGGGGGGGCCGCAGCCAGUCCGCAGCCGGCGGGGCCGGGUUCGCCCAGACGCGCGCGCCCGCAGCCGAGCUCGGGCCGGGACCGCCGCCGGGAGGGGGACCCCGCGGCCCGGAGCGCUGCUGCCCGGAGGCCCUCGGCGCCGCGGGCCCGGGAGGAUGCGCGCCGCCCCCCGCACGGCGGCCCCGGGCCUGGGCGAGCCUGCGCCGCGGGAGCGCGCCCUGCAGCCCCUGCAGCCCCUGCAGCCCCCGCCGCCCGCCCCCGCCCCGCCCCGCGCGCCGCGCGCCCUGAGCCCCCCGCGCCCCCCCCGCCCCCCGCCCCCGCUCGGCCCGCCCCGCCCCGCCCCGCCCGCCCGCCCGAGCCCGCGCCCGCGCCCCGGCUUCCGAAACUACGGGACCAAGUGCCGCCGGGACUGCGGGAGCCGCGCCGGGGACCCAGGUCCCACCACAGCCCGCGGCGUGGGGCUGCCGUUGAGCGUGUGCGACGUGGGAGUGUGUGCAUCGCAGGGGGAGGGAAGACGGCGACUGUGAGAGUGGUGGAGGGACAACAAGAUAAUCAGGUACCCAGAGGCUCCAGCAGCGGUGUCCUCCCUUCUCGAUGGUGUUUCUGA
rnacentral:lncRNA from 1 species